UUGAAUUUAAUGAGGAGUUGGUUGUAGCUGUUGCCUUGGGAUUUUUUUAAUUAAUUAUUCCGGACAAAUGUGCACGCCUUCUCUUUCAUCCACACACACCUGUGCACUUGUGAGGCAGAUGGCUGGAGUUCUUUAUUAAUUUAUUGAACUCCUAACUCUGUCUACUUAAUUUACACACACUCUAUUUAAUUUAAACUGAAUGUAAUUGAUGUAACGCAUCUAAUAC
rnacentral:misc_RNA from 1 species